UCAAUUCUCAAAUCUACAUUCUGACAGCAAAUUUCUUAGGGCAAAAUGUGGGUUUUGCUAUGCUACCAAGCAAAGUUUUCAACUGAUGCCAAAUAGUUGGAAGCCAAUGAGUUAUUUGCACCAACCAUAGAAGCUCCAUUUUUCUCUUUAGCAGAAACUUUCCACAUCAUAGCUCAUAGCAUCAUAAACAGAUGAUUUUUUAAAAACCCAAUAAAAUAAAAGGGGUGUUCUGGAAAGUUGGCAGAAAAUUAAAAGGAAAAUUGUGAAUCAUAAAGGCUAAUUAGCCUAUUAGUUCUCAUACAACAACUGGGAUGAGGAAAAUUUUAAUGCAGACAAAUGCUGUACUGUAUGCAUAUUUUACAUUUAUAUAUUCAUGCAAGAGGAUAUUCAUAUAGUAGUAAGUAAUGGCAGAUCUAUAUAGAGAACACUGGUAAGAAGGAAAGCAAAAUAUAAUUUUAGAAUUAAUUCUCCAUAGUUGCCAUUGCCUAUUUUAUCUGUCAUACAGGAUGUCCAUAAGAUGAUAAUCAUAAAUAAUACUACCAUUUAGCAAAUCUGUGCAUUGACAAAAUUUCCUUCUAGAAUUACAAAAGGAACAUUUGAAUUGGAUGCUUGGAUUGGCAUGUAUUCUAAACUGCUUCUACAUCCUAGGUUCUGGGGAAGAACUUUAUGGAUAUGAAGGCUCAUGUCUGUUAAAGAAGUGACAGCUGUGAUUUCACAUAAUUGUGCAUGUAACAGCAACAUCUGCCUAUUCUAGGUUCUUGGGAAGGACUCAAUAUGAGGAUAAAAAUGUGAAAUCCAUCUAAACAUUGGGCUGACUAUGCAAUGAAUCAUUAAACCUUUAUGCUGCCCAAUUCUUAACAACUUGGACAACUCCUAACAAUCAAAUAAAGAAAUUACAAUAAAAUAAAUAAAAAUUAAGAGAUAGCAAAUGUGAUAAAGUUUAAAGCUUUCUCUCUUUCUGACUUCAUGGAUUUUCUAAACAACAGCUACCAGAUGUCGGAAGCAGCCUUGGAGUCACCUUCCAAAGGGAAGGGAUUGCUACAGAGGAGAUGUGCUUCCAAGGUCUCGAUAAAUGACAUUGUUUAAUUAAAGGAAACCAUAAUGCACCAACCCUGAAAAAUAGAAUUGGCUGGACAGAUGUUAUUGGACGCAGGUGGUCUUUCAAGUAAGCAUUCUAUGCUAUGUGUUAUGACAUCAGCUGAAUUUUUCAGAAUACUAUUAAAUCAGAAUGCUAAUGUUAGAAUUAUCUGAUGUUUAUAGUAAAGCAUUAUAUGUAUUAUUCAUUUAUCUGCAUGUAUUCUGUUCAGUUCUGCAUUUCAUUUUCAAGUAUCUAGAACCUACUGAGUCUCUUGAUCUGUUCAUUUAUGAAAUUACUUUGCCACUCUAAAUAUGGAAAAGAGUGGCCACAUUUUCAAAUGUACAAUACAUUAUUUCUAAACCAUACAGCUUGGACAAGACAUAGUAUAGUAGUUAAGAUAAAUGCAAGCAUGUUGUACACAGGUAGUCCUGACUUCCAAUAGUUUGUUUGACAGCAGUUCAGAAUCAUAAUUGCCUUGGAGAGGGUGGCCUAUACAGUGCUUCUGGCCGUUGCAAAACUUUGCUCACAUAGAUAUAGAUAAAAGGAAGCUGAAAUCCAAACAGAGGGUAGUCAGUGCAGUAAAGUAAGGAGCACAAAUGUGCCUCAGGUGUGUUGGCAGGCUUGGAAGGCCUUAGGUGGGCCACAUCCAAGAGACUACUUCUCUUCAUUUGGGGACAGCUUGCAUGUUGACAGCAAGCAUUUUCAGCUAAUGAGUGGAACCUUCCAGAGUAUGCCCUGUCUGCAACUCCAUCAACUUAACGAACUGCAUAAUUCCUUAAUGACUACAAUUGGGAAUGCUGAGAUUGUGGUUGUUAAGCAAAGAAAUCACAUGGGUAGUCACAUGAUAUCUCACUUAAUGAUUGCUUAACUCAAUGACAAAAUUCCAGUCCCAAUUGUGGUGACAAAUUGAGGAGUACCUGUAUGCAAGCACUUGAAAGAAAGAAAUAUAAGGUUUGAAAAAUACAGUAUAAAAUACACAUUAAAGCUAGCCAAUUAUAGUUUGGAAGAAGAUUUAGAUUUAGUUUUUCAAAUGGAAAUUUUCAAAAAUUUUGUGGAGUAUACCACUUUGUUUUCGAUGAGUUGAUUCAUCAUAUGCUUCUUUUCCUGGGACAAUUAAGCCAAGUCAACCCAUGUAAUUUAGUUCAAUUCUUGCAGUGAGGUAUAAGUAGGCUGCCAGUGACUGUCCAAAAACUACAAUUGAUUCAAAUACAUGAAGUGACUGUAAAAUUAAAGGGAAUACUGCCUCAUAAUUUAGGGAAAUACAAUGUCUAUUUUUUAAUCUCCAAAAUUAUUUUAUGUGUCAACUUGAAUUUAUCCAACUGCAAGCAGCCAAGAAGUAGAACAUUCAAAAGAUAACUUUUUCUCAUAUGUGCUUCCGAUAUGGAAGCUUUGCUCUGAAUGUUUCUACCUUUUUUGAAUUAAUUUAGGUAAAAAACAAGAAAUAAAGAGAUAUUACAAUUAGGGCACAUAACUUUAGAAAAGCCUUCUAUAAAUCAGAAAGCAAAUGAUAUGUUUUUUUCUUAUUUGUGCAAAAAUGUUGAUGCUUAAAAAGUUACUGGUUUAUUAAAUUUUAGUGUCAUUAAAUGCCUUAUAAGGUUAACUACUUUAAACAUCAUUUAUAUUAACACAUAUAAUAAACUAACUGAAACACUGUAUUUAUGAAAUUUGUGAAAUGUCUGCAAUGAAUUUUUAAAAAUAUUACUUUUGUUACAAUUUCAAGCAGAAGCUUUCCAUUUUGGAAGACAUAGGAAAAUUUUGCAAGACAUAGUCCUCAGCCUACUCUCAAAGGAAUUAUUGGUCUCUUCUUGUCCAACAAAUAAAGCCAGUGAGUGAUAACACAAAAACAAUUUUAUUGCUUAAUUCCAUAAAAGUUUUAAAAAGAACCAAACAACUCCAUUUAUUGGAAGCUACUGUUAUUGAAAUAUUUUUUAGAAUUGCUAUUAAUUAAAUCUUCAAUUAAAUUUAAAAUAUUGCCUUUUAUACAUAAUUUAUUAAAAAGAAU